UUGACGUUUAACCCGUAGGUGUGUCGCCUGCUCGUUUACCGCGGGUCACCUCACGUUUUUUUUCCGUCCCUCCAUCUUUGUUGGGAAACUUUUACGUUUACCUGAAAGUGUCGAAUUCCCGGGUCCGUCGCCGGAUCGAGCUCCAUUUGGCGCAACGACAUGUUACAGGCUUCAUCUUUGCAGACAUCGGGAGCUGUCGGCGCCCUGUGAUGUGGGUGACACUCAGCCGUCAUGACAGGUGCUGGACAGCAAACGCACUCCUAGGCAAGCUGGUCAUAUUUCUUCAGGAUUGCCCGGUUUUGGGGAUAAAGACCGACACGGAAUGAGUGGGAAAAACUGGGACCUCGAUGCUGCCGGAUCACUUUCUCCUGCCAGCACCCAUCUCCGUCAGUGCCACAUCAGCUGGUCCCAAGGUUACAGGGUCACCUGAACAUCUGGCCCCUCCGCCAUGUUCUCUGAGGUGUUGCUUGGUGUAUCCCAACAGCAAAAAUCACUGAUCUAUGUGGGUGGCGCCGGUCUGUGGGCCAGAUGAUUCGGUGGCAGGCACCUGUUCCUUUGUCUGUUCCCGGUGAAGUUCGAGCAGCAGCCGGUGUUGUGAUGUCAGUGGCUCUUGGGGGUCAAGACAGGAAUUUUUGAGCAGUGUGAGCUGGCACUGUGACCGAACAGAUGUUGCAAUCAUAAAAAAAAUACACAGUCUCUAAAUAAAAGAUGGCGAAUGAAAGCAGG